CACGUAGGGUGCGAGCGUUGUCCGGAAUUAUUGGGCGUAAAGAGCUCGUAGGCGGUGUGUCGCGUCGGCCGUGAAAACCUGCAGCUUAACUGUGGGCGUGCGGUUGAUACGGGCAUCACUGGAGUUCGGCAGGGGAGACUGGAAUUCCUGGUGUAGCGGUGAAAUGCGCAGAUAUCAGGAGGAACACCGGUGGCGAAGGCGGGUCUCUGGGCCGAUACUGACGCUGAGGAGCGAAAGCGUGGGGAGCGAACAGG
rnacentral:rRNA from 1 species